rnacentral:rRNA from 1 species
CCCUUAGAUGUUCUGGGCCGCACGCGCGCUACACUGACGAUGUCAGAGAGUGUCUCCUUCACCGAGAGGUGUGGGUAAUCUUUUAAACAUCGUCGUGCUGGGGAUAGAUCAUUGCAAUUUUUGAUCUUAAACGAGGAAUUCCUAGUAAGCGCGAGUCAUCAGCUCGCGCUGAUUACGUCCCUGCCCUUUGUACACACCGCCCGUCGCUACUACCGAUUGGGUGUGCUGGUGAAAUGUUCGGAUCGGCCGUUUGUCGCGGUUUCCGCGUCAUGUGGCUGAGAAGUUCAUUAAACCCUCCCACCUAGAGGAAGGAGAAGUCGUAACA